GAUGAAGAACGCAGCGAAAUGCGAUAAGUAAUGUGAAUUGCAGAAUUCAGUGAAUCAUCGAAUCUUUGAACGCACAUUGCGCCCGCCAGUAUUCUGGCGGGCAUGCCUGUUCGAGCGUCAUUUCAACCAUCAAGCCCCAGGCUUGUGUUGGGGACCUGCGGCUGCCGCAGGCCCUGAAAACCAGUGGCGGGCUCGCUGUCACACCGGGCGUAGUAGAUUUUAUCUCGCUCAGGGCGUGCUGCGGGUUCCGGCCGUUAAAAAGCCUUUUUUACCCAAGGUUGACCUCGGGUCAGGUAGGAAGACCCGCUGAACUUAAGCAUAUCAAUAAGCGGAGGA
rnacentral:misc_RNA from 1 species